CCUACGGGAGGCAGCAGUGGGGAAUAUUGGGCAAUGGAGGAAACUCUGACCCAGCAACGCCGCGUGAAUGAUGAAGGUCUUCGGAUUGUAAAGUUCUUUUCUAAGGGAAGAAGAAAGUGACGGUACCUUAGGAAUAAGCCUCGGCUAACUACGUGCCAGCAGCCGCGGUAAUACGUAGGAGGCAAGCGUUAUCCGGAAUGACUGGGCGUAAAGGGUGCGUAGGUGGUUUGACAAGUUGGUAGCGUAACUCCGGAGCUCAACCACGGCACUACUACCAAAACUGUCGGACUUGAGUGCAGGAGGGGCAAAUGGAAUUCCUGGUGUAGCGGUGGAAUGCGUAGAGAUUAGGAGGAACACCAGUGGCGAAGGCGAUUUGCUGGACUGUAACUGACACUGAGGCACGAAAGCGUGGGGAGCAAACAGGAUUAGAUACCCCAGUAGUC
rnacentral:rRNA from 1 species